UACGAGGGGUCCUAGCGUUGCUCGGAAUCAUUGGGCGUAAAGCGGAUGUAGGCGGAUUGCUAAGUCAGAUGUGAAAGCCCCGGGCUCAACCCGGGAAGUGCAUUUGAUACCGGCGAUCUUGAGUGCAGUAGAGGAAGGUAGAAUUCCAAGUGUAGUGGUGAAAUACGUAGAUAUUUGGAGGAACACCGGUGGCGAAGGCGGCCUUCUGGACUGUCACUGACGCUCAGAUCCGAAAGCGUGGGGAUCAAACAGG
rnacentral:misc_RNA from 1 species